rnacentral:rRNA from 3 species
UACAGAGGGUGCGAGCGUUGUUCGGAAUUAUUGGGCGUAAAGCGCAUGUAGGCGGCCUGUUAAGUCACGUGUGAAAGCCCCAGGCUCAACCUGGGAAGUGCGCGUGAAACUGGCGGGCUUGAAUCCUGGAGAGGGUGGCGGAAUUCCCGGUGUAGAGGUGAAAUUCGUAGAUAUCGGGAGGAACACCAGAGGCGAAGGCGGCCACCUGGACAGAGAUUGACGCUGAGACGCGAAAGCGUGGGGAGCAAACAGG